AUUUUCUCUCCCUAUUUUUGUGUUUCUAUGCGUGUAGUAUCCUCAAUUCGGCCCCCAAAAACAGUUGCCCAAUGUCUCCAAUUUUUCGCCCCCAGCAGCCUCUGUAAUUCAGCGACAUGGUGAAAUCGACAUAGAACAACCACCCAAUGUUUUCAAUUAUUAUGUUGAAAUUUAACGAAGACCCAUUGCUGUAAUAGUUGGAGCAUUAGGAGGGGAUGUCGGAAUGGGUGGUCCGCAACCAUAGGACCCAUUACCGACGCCGGAAUUGAUGGAGGAAGCAAACCAAUUUCUCAAACUAGUUAGAGUUUCUUCUAAGUUUUGAAUGGUUAUAUGAUCUAUUUGAGUAAUUGAUUGACAGGAAAGUGUUUGUGGGUUAAACUCAUCGGUAAAGGGAGCAGUUUCCGGUGAUUUAUCUAGUGGUGGG
rnacentral:lncRNA from 1 species